UUCGCCGGCCCGCCGUGCCUUCGGGGCCGAACGUCCCCACGAGGAGCAGGCACGGCGGGGCUCACGCCGCUGGACCGGACCGGACCGGACCAGGCGGACAGCGGCCCGCGGUGCUGGCAGCGCCUCCUGGAGGGAUCGGGCGGCCGAGGCGCGAAAGGGCCUGCCCGGACGGCGUCAGCGGCCCUGCGGCGGCUUCUCUACGGCCCGGCUCCCGCCCUGGCCCGGCCCGGCUCCCGCCCGCGACGCGCUCCGGCUCCGCGACAAGAUGGCGGCUGUUGAUUCCUCAAUUAAAAAAAAAAAGUUUUUUCUCUUCUCUUUUCCACAGACAAAGGGGCGGGGCCGGGCGUGCGCGCUCGCCUCAUUGCGCACGGCGCGUCCCUCCGGCUUCGGCCGCCGCCGCCGCCGCCGCCGGAAAAGCACGAGCGCACCCGAAGCUCCGCCGGACGCUUCUUCCGCAGUCGGCGCCUCCCGCAAGCCUUACCGAGGAGGCGGCCGCUGCGCUUUUACUUCGGGGUCGGUUCGUGCGCGCCCCCCACGGGCCUCCCGCCACCUUGUUUCCUGUCACGGGUUUCAGUUCCCGAUGCUCCCGUUGGGGUCGCGGAAGGAAGCUCUGAUCUCCCCCGCCCCGCACGGGUCCCCCUUUGAGCAACAGCUGUGAGUGGGCCCCCUCCUUCCCCCAUUCAAUGCCCCGUCCCCCUGCCCUGUCCCUGGGGCAGCCGUGCGAGCCUCGCUGCCCACCUGGCGGCCCGUCUCUCCCCCGGCUGGGCGACUCAGCCUCUCCGGAUUUCUGCUUUCCUCGUGCGCUUCCUGGGGGCGGGGGAGGCAGUACAGGUAGGCCUGGGUUGGGGGGGUUUCAGUCUGUUCGUUCAGCAACUGGCUUCCCCCAAACAGUCACCGAGGAAGCCAGAUGGAGUUCAGCAGUCAUGGUGAUGGUGAGGUUCUCAUUUGGCAAUAAUAACUGGAAGGGCUGGAAUUUCUGUCGCUAAGCAAUGUGUUCAUGUGAUGUCACACUUUACAACUGUGUGGUUUAGUGAUAGUAAUCCUGGUCCCAAUUGGUCCUAAUCUGAGGAUUACCUGUUCCCUAAGGUUGCUGUAACCAGCAUAGAACAGAAAAGAAUGAGGAUUUCUCUGAGUCUGGCCCUCUGCUGAUGUUGAGGCAAUGUAGUAGGAUGGCGUUGCUUUUCCCACAGGCUCCUGUUCCCCUUGUUUGCUCAAAUCCUUAACUGUGCCCUGUUUCACACAGGCCUUUGAAUGUAGGAUUUUGCCUUACUUUUUGUUGAAAUUCUUCUUAUUGACUUCAGCCCGUCAUUCCAAUGUGUCAAGGACCUACUGUGCUUCAAAAUGGUUGCUUUUCCUCCAUCAACUUUGUAUCAUUUGGAAAUUUGGUAAAUAAUAUUGUUAUCAUCCUAAUUUAAUAAAUAAAUAUGAAUGUGUUGAAGAGCAGUCUUAAAUGGAAUAGUAUACCUAUCUACCUUUCCAGCUUGGUGGGUUGGCGGGGGGUAGUGGAGAGGGGAUGGCUCUAUGUGAGCCACAGAUUCGUGCAUGCAGCUCCAUUUGUGCAAAUAGCAUGCGCGUGCACCCUCCACUCAAGCAAAUGGAGCUUUGCAGGCAAGCGUGCCUACCACUUGCAUGAGUGCGCAUGUGCACACUCGCCUGUCACUUGCGUGGCCCAGUUCUGAAUGGGUCAUGAUCAGGUACUGGGCCGCGGACAAGGGCUGUGGACCCCUGGUCUAUUUCAUUUACUCCCAGCUGGAUGUUGUCCAUACAUUAGGUAUGACUUUCAACCUGCUUCUUACCCAUCUAAUGGUAGCAAAACUUGAAGCACAUUUUGCCUUAUGUAAUUUAAUCGAUUAACAUUUGUUAAAAAUGAAGGCAAAUAUACAUGUCCCAGGAUAAUGUGGCAGAAUCCAGUCGGUCACUAGGACCAGAAAUUUAGACUUCUGAGCUUUUGGACUCGUGCUGGAGCCCAUCCUCUGGGAACUUCUCCCGUCCGUUCGCUGCGGUCGUCCCCCGGUGCCUUUGACGACGUCCUUCCCAGUACGGCCGACUUCCUGUCCUGUGGUGGUGGUAGAAGGAGGUAAGGAGAUGGGCAAGCGGGCCGGGUUGUAUCACACUUUGCCUUUCUAAGGGGCUGAAACUUCCAGCAGGCUCAGGCAAUGUGGGGACUUGGUCCAGAACCUGCCUCGUUCCAGAAGGAGGAGGGGGAAAAUGCAGGGUUGGAGGUUCAGGAAGGCUGCACUUGUCUCGAGGCACCGACGGUUCUUCCAGCCUGUUUUUUGUGGGGCGGAGGGGGGGGGGAAGAAUGCAGAACACAUCUGUCCAUCUGCAAAACUGGUUGCAGAAAUAGCAUCACUUGGCACAACCUGGAGUAAACAAAACCGAUUUCAGACCAUUAUGUCAGGGUAGGCCAAGUCUUCAGAAACAUGUGUUUUGAAAAGCAGCAGAAGGACCUCGUCUUUCUGGCUUUUCCUUUGAGAGUCGUUCUCAGUUUAUGGUUGGGACCUUCUCCCGGUUGUUGUGUUUGUGAAGCUGUGCUUCAUCACUUGUUGCGAUGCUGCUUGUCAGUUCUACCUUUUCUGCUUUCUUUCCAAGGUCCCAAAGCACAGAAGAAAUUUAAGCGGCUCACGUUACAUCGAAUAAAAUGGGAUGAGCAGACGUCAAACACAAAAGGAGACGAUGAUGAGGAAUCUGUGAAAAAAAACCAACAAAUGUUCCCUGGCUUGGGAGGGCACGGCAAAGGAGCGGAGCUUUGGCGAGAUGAAGUUCAAGCAGUGUGCUACUGAAAACGGCACGGGAGCAUUUUAAGAAACACGGCACUGAACAUUAUUGGGAUCUAGGCUCUGAGCGAGUCAGUCCUAGAACCCACAGACUGACGGCCUUUUCUGGAGCCCCUUCUCACAUUUCUGGGCGUUUGACAUAAAGAGCAAGGACGGAGCAGAAACAUUAGACUCUAAUCCCCGCCCCCCCCCCCAUUCCCACAAAUUCCUCACAGUACAAUGCAUACAAUUAAAGGAAAUAUUUUUCAGAUCCAAA